ACACAUAUAUAAAUAUAUGGGUGUGAAAUUUCUCUCUAAGUUUAUUCAUCACAAAAGUCGUCGGGUUAUGCUCUUCGGCGUUGGUGAGAUAUUUUCAGCAACAGGUAAUUACAACCCAGAUCUACGUCGCCUAUAUUUUUUCGUUUCCAUUUUUGCCUCCGCCCAUCCAAUUCUUGCCCACGAUAUAGCGCCUUUACCAUCUUCGAGCUGCAAAUUUAUGUGAUGCCGAUGCCUUUCUUCUACAGUGACCAAGAAGUAGGUCUUUUGCUUUAAGAUUUACUACGUACAGUACUUCUAGAUCCAGACAUUCUAGCAGCCUUCAGGGAUAACCCCAAUGGCCAAUUUCGACAUCUACUACAGUUUUCUAACCAUGUUUUGUUAAUCCUUUCUUUCUUGAGUUUCGUUUAUAUUUUCCAAUGCCUUUCAUGUCCAUAUUUUUUAUUGUAUAUCACUUUUCAUUCAUAUUUCAUGCUUUAAUCUAUCUUUUUUCCAUCUUAAAAUCAUGAAAUCUACCAUGGUGGCGUUGUACUUCUCGUUAUUGAUUUACCUGUGCUGAUAUUUUACAUCUAUAUUCUUUUUGGCUUUGUUUGUUGUUCGUGUUACUAUUACUUUCUUUAGUCAUACUUGGUUCUUGAAUAUUCUUUGCUACUAGUGAUUAAAUUCUUGUUUCUAGCUUUUUGCUUUUCGGGUUUUGUACUUUAAUGUUAGGGUUAUUUCUUGUUUUUAGUCAUAGCCUAGUUUGACUUGCAUUAGUAUUUUUGUAGCUUUGAACUGAAUUUUUUGGUUCAAAAUGAUAGUCUAAGGUCAUUUUUAGGUCAAGGUCGAGAGCGAUGGGUGGGAGUGAGAGGAAGAUUAAAGAUUUCAUUAAGUUGUGAGUCGGGUCAUAGAAUAUAGGGUCUUGAAGUAAAUAUUUUUAAAAAGUAGAAGAUAAAUUUAUUGUGUGUCCACAAGACCGAAUUGUUAAGUUCCAAGCCUUGAGAUGUAUAUGGGUUUAAUUUAUGGUGCUCAGGAAGUUCAAAGAAUAGGAACGGGGUAGAAAGUCCUUAGGGAGCUUUGGUUGGAGGUUCAAAGGAUUAAUCACUGGAUGAUGAAGAUUAAGAAAGUUAAUUGAGGAGAUACUUUUAAUAUUAUUAGUUUAUAUGCUUCACAACUAUUCUUGGACAAGGAGGUCCAGAAGAUAUGUUGGGAAAGUUUGAAUGAGGUGGUGCGAGAAAUACCAAACACCGAGAAGAUUUUCUUUAGUAAGGAUUCAAAUUGCCAAAUUGGAGAAAAUUUUAGAGUAUUUGAUGGGGUUCAUGGAGUUAUUAUUUUAGUUGAUAGAAAUAGUGAUGAAACCUUUCUCCUGGACCAUUCUAAAGCCUUUGAGAUGGUGAUAGCUAAUUUGUGAUUUCAAAGAAGGAAAACAAAUUGGUUAUCUUCCGUAGCAAGUUGGCUAAAAUGCAGAUAGACUACCUAUCAUUGUUAAAGGGUGAAAGAAUCCUUUGUAAGGAUUAUUUUAAUGACUCUCUUGGUAAUUUCCUCAAUUUGUGUGUAUUUUCAGCGUUUCUAGACAUCCCACGGUGGCUACAUUUCAUUAUUACUUGCCGGAACUAUCGAUUUAGUUAUAGUACAGUUUGUUUUUAUUUUAGUCUCAUUUCUCUAUUUUGUAGCUUUCAGUAUUUCAGAUUUGAUGUCGGACCAAAACACGUAGUAUAUGACCUUGGAAGAGAAUACAAACAAUGACAUUAGCUUCAAAAAAUAAAUUUUAGGCUGGGGACCCUCGGUUCAGGUCCUGAGGCUUUCAGACUCGUUUUAGGGAAUUGAGUGAAUUAUAUGAAAAAUGGCACUAUAGAUAUGGGUCACAAAUUUAGUAAAAACUAUUUUCGAUUAAUGUUUUGAUUCUUCCGUUGUAUCUAUAAUGUGUUUUAAAUUCAAAUUUUGCUACUGUUUCAUGUUCAUAGGUUUUUGGAUGAGGUCCGAUGGCCAAAAACAAGUUCUUAACUUUGUUGGUGCCGGUUUGUUUGCGAAAACAACCAUUUGCCCAUUUGAAUAAGUCACUUGACCAACCAUUUGGCCAAUUAAGUGACAUUUGACCAUUUGACCAGAUCGCUUAAGUGACCAGCAUAUUUUUGACAUUUUGGGAGCUAGGAAGCUCAAUUUUUUACGAUUUAUGAUUUAUUUUUCACGUAAAAUCAUUGUCUAGCAAUUAUAGAAUUCUAUUUUCCCCAUUUCCCAAGAACAUCAAUUUAUAAUUUUUCAUUUUCACCCAAAUUGAGAAUCAAAAUUGAUUUUUCACUAAUUUUGGGUCUUGGGAGCUCGUAUUUGUGGGAUUACAAAAGCAUAUUUGAGAUUUCAUCCAUGAGGAAGUUUCUUAAUCUUAUAACUAUCAUUUUUACCUUGAUUUGAUUUUCAAAGUGGGUUUUGGAGGUUUUCAUCAAUAAGAUAGAAAAUGGUUUUUCCUUAAUUUGGAUCUUAUUUUUAUUUCAUUUUGGCUUAGGUUUUAAGUUAUAGACUCCUAUGAGUAUGGGAAACAUAUUUCUUUAAAAUAAAAAAGAUUUUAACCUUUUUAUUUUUAAAUCCAUUUUUAGUGUUUGUUUUUAGAUUUGUGUUGGACAUAGAUAUACAGGUAUUAUUUUCUCCUAAUGAUGCGUAGAUAACUGUAUUGAGAGUGUGAUGAUAUUUUGAGGUCAUGGAGAAAAGAAGGACAAUUUAUAGGUAAUUCAAGGAUUGAGGUUCGACAUCGAUUAAAAGUAGAGAAGAAGGAGAACCACAAAUAAAUGAAGCAAAAAGUAUAAAAUUGGAAGAAAAUAAAGAGCUAAGUGUGGCUGACGACAUACAUGACACAUCGUCUGCCUGGUGAUAGGCUGUCAAGGAUGCCGUCAAACUUAAACACAAAAGGUGAGUUGCAGGAAGUUUUAUGGCGACCUUCAUGACACAUCGUCAAGAUCCUGAUAGGUUGUCAUUGUCGUCAUCAACCUCAGGCAGCAGGAGCUGAAUUUUGCAGAGAAGCUGACGGCGUCCGUGAAAAAUCAUCAAAAUCAUGAUAGGCCAUCACAACUGCUGUCAUCUAUACCAAAGAAUAUCUAAAACUAUAAUUUUAUUUCCUUAUUUAGUGUUAACUAUUUAAAUCCUUAUUUUAGGGGUUUUCUAUUAUCCAUCAAUUAAUUGAUAUAUCCUACAACAUACGACUUUUUCUUCUCUUUCUCUCUCGAAGACAAAUAUUUUUGUGGUUGUCCUUGUGACUCAAUUGAAAGAACACUUUUGAUUUA